rnacentral:rRNA from 1 species
AGGAUGAACGCUGGCGGUGUGCCUUAAGCAUGCAAGUCGAGCGGGAUAGCAAUAUCCAGCGGCAGACGGGUGAGUAACGCGUAGGAAUCUACCUCGAAGUGGGGAAUAGCCUUCCGAAAGGGAGGGUAAUACCGCAUAAUCUCGUAAGAGCAAAGCAGCAAUGCGCUUUGAGAGGAGCCUGCGUCCUAUCAGCUAGUUGGUGGGGUAAUAGCCUACCAAGGCGAUGACGGGUAGCCGAUGUGAGAGCAUGAUCGGCCACAAGGUUACUGAGACACGGAACCUACACCUACGGGUGGCAGCAACUGGGAAUCUUGCGCAAUGGACGAAAGUCUGACGCAGCGACACCGCGUGUGGGAUGAAGCCCUUAGGGGUGUAAACCACUGUGACGAGGGAUGAAAUUUUGACCGUACCUCGUUAGAAGCACCUGCUAACCACGCGCCAGCAGCCGC